rnacentral:rRNA from 1 species
UACGUAGGUGGCAAGCGUUGUCCGGAAUUAUUGGGCGUAAAGCGCGCGCAGGUGGUUCCUUAAGUCUGAUGUGAAAGCCCACGGCUCAACCGUGGAGGGUCAUUGGAAACUGGGGAACUUUGAGUGCAGAAGAGGAAAGUGGAAUUCCAAGUGUAGCGGUGAAAUGCGUAGAGAUUUGGAGGAACACCAGUGGCGAAGGCGACUAUCUGGGGUGCAACUGACGCUGAGGCGCGAAGGCUAGGGUAGCAAACAGG